AAAAACAAAAAAAAAUGGAAUUAGGAGUAGACGCCACUCCUAGUGGCGACUUGCCCUAAAUUUAAGGGUAGGCGCCAUCUAGGGUGGCGCCCAUGGCCAUUUUAGGGAAAAAAAUGCCCAUAUUUGUAAUUUUUUUGAAAAUAUGGGUAUUUUUGGAAAUUUUUUACAAAAAUUGAAUAUUUAAAAAAAAUCUUCUCGAAUCCAAGCUUUUGUAAUUUAUGUUUUUAUUUCUUUAAAACGAG
rnacentral:lncRNA from 1 species